ACCAGCAGGUAGCCUAGUGGUUAGAGCGUUGGACUAGUAACCAGCAGGUAGCCUAGUGGUUAGAGCGUUGGACUAGUAACCAGCAGGUAGCCUAGUGGUUAGAGCGUUGGACUAGUAACCAGCAGGUAGCCUAGUGGUUAGAGCGUUGGACUAGUAACCAGCAGGUAGCCUAGUGGUUAGAGCAUUGGACUAGUAACCAGCAGGUAGCCUAGUGGUUAGAGCGUUGGACUAGUAACCAGCAGGUAGCCUAGUGGUUAGAGCGUUGGACUAGUAACCAGCAGGUAGCCUAGUGGUUAGAGCAUUGGACUAGUAACCAGCAGGUAGCCUAGUGGUUAGAGCGUUGGACUAGUAACCAGCAGGUAGCCUAGUGGUUAGAGCAUUGGACUAGUAACCAGCAGGUAGCCUAGUGGUUAGAGCGUUGGACUAGUAACCAGCAGGUAGCCUAGUGGUUAGAGCAUUGGACUAGUAACCAGCAGGUAGCCUAGUGGUUAGAGCGUUGGACUAGUAACCAGCAGGUAGCCUAGUGGUUAGAGCAUUGGACUAGUAACCAGCAGGUAGCCUAGUGGUUAGAGCGUUGGACUAGUAACCAGCAGGUAACCUAGUGGUUAGAGCGUUGGACUAGUAACCAGCAGGUAGCCUAGUGGUUAGAGCGUUGGACUAGUAACCAGCAGGUAACCUAGUGGUUAGAGCGUUGGACUAGUAACCAGCAGGUAGCCUAGUGGUUAGAGCGUUGGACUAGUAACCAGCAGGUAGCCUAGUGGUUAGAGCGUUGGACUAGUAACCAGCAGGUAGCCUAGUGGUUAGAGCGUUGGACUAGUAACCAGCAGGUAACCUAGUGGUUAGAGCAUUGGACUAGUAACCUGAAAGGUUGCAAGAUCAAAUCCCCGAGCUGACAAGGUACAAAUCUGUCCUUCUGAACAAGGCAGUUAACCCACUGUUCCUAGGCCAUCAUUGAAAAUAAUAAUUUGUUCUUAAAUGACUUGCCUAGUAAAAUUAAAGUGGGUAUGUAUUGUAAAGGGUGACCAAUGACUAAUGUCCAAAUAAGACACAGAAAAUGAAUAAAACAAUUACUUAACUAGAGUGGAUGGAGUGAGAGAAAGAGGUAAAAAGGCCAGACAGCAUGUCCCCUUCUCUUUGAUCCAUAUGACCCAGUGCAGUUUGCUAAUCAGACAGAGGUCAUCUAGUCGGCUGAUGUGGAGAGGGAAAGGAAGGGGGUAUUGCCCACUUAAAAUCAAAUUAGCAUCUCCAUAGGGCCAUGGAUGGAGGAGAGGGAGGGGAUGGUGGGGAGGAUAGGAUGGGAAGAGAGAGGCUGGGUGAGUUUAACAGCACUGUGUGCCCGCCACAGCUGUUCAUCUGUCUUAGAGAGAGAAUGGGAGAAAAACAAAGAGAGCGAGAGAGACGUUUUUAGGGGGAGAGGUAUACGGUAGAAAAUGAAUUCAGUUGAGAGGAGAAAGUGAGCCUAAACUAGUCCCAUCUAAAAGGGCUGGAUGGGUGAAAGUAGUAUGGCAUUCAGUCUACAGGCAGAGAAGCAUCUGUAAGGUGGGAUUCAUGGAAUAGCUCCUAAACAUACUACCUAGUUAUAUGGCAUUCAGUCUACAGGCAGAGAAGCAUCUGUAAGGUGGGAUUCAUGGAAUAGCUCCUAAACAUACUACCUAGUUAUAUGGCAUUCAGUCUACAGGCAGAGAAGCAUCUGUAAGGUGGGAUUCAUGGAAUAGCUCCUAAACAUACUACCUAGUUAUAUGGCAUUCAGUCUACAGGCAGAGAAGCAUCUGUAAGGUGGGAUUCAUGGAAUAGCUCCUAAACAUACUACCUAGUUAUAUGGCAUUCAGUCUACAGGCAGAGACGAAUCUGUAAAGUGGGAUUCAUGGAAUAGCUCCUAAACAUACUACCUAGUUAUAUGGCAUUCAGUCUACAGGCAGAGAAGCAUCUGUAAGGUGGGAUUCAUGGAAUAGCUCCUAAACAUACUACCUAGUUAUAUGGCAUUCAGUCUACAGGCAGAGAAGCAUCUGUAAGGUGGGAUUCAUGGAAUAGCUCCUAAACAUACUACCUAGUUAUAUGGCAUUCAGUCUACAGGCAGAGACGAAUCUGUAAUGUGGGAUUCAUGGAAUAGCUCCUAAACAUACUACCUAGUUAUAUGGCAUUCAGUCUACAGGCAGAGAAGCAUCUGUAAGGUGGGAUUCAUGGAAUAGCUCCUAAACAUACUACCUAGUUAUAUGGCAUUCAGUCUACAGGCAGAGAAGCAUCUGUAAGGUGGGAUUCAUGGAAUAGCUCCUAAACAUACUACCUAGUUAUAUGGCAUUCAGUCUACAGGCAGAGAAGCAUCUGUAAGGUGGGAUUCAUGGAAUAGCUCCUAAACAUACUACCUAGUUAUAUGGCAUUCAGUCUACAGGCAGAGAAGCAUCUGUAAGGUGGGAUUCAUGGAAUAGCUCCUAAACAUACUACCUAGUUAUAUGGCAUUCAGUCUACAGGCAGAGAAGCAUCUGUAAGGUGGGAUUCAUGGAAUAGCUCCUAAACAUACUACCUAGUUAUAUGGCAUUCAGUCUACAGGCAGAGAAGCAUCUGUAAGGU